rnacentral:rRNA from 1 species
UACGUAUGGUGCAAGCGUUAUCCGGAUUUACUGGGUGUAAAGGGAGCGUAGGCGGCGCGUUAAGUCUGAUGUGAAAACCCGAGGCUCAACCACGGAAGUGCAUUGGAAACUGGCGUGCUGGAGUGCCGGAGAGGUAAGCGGAAUUCCUAGUGUAGCGGUGAAAUGCGUAGAUAUUAGGAGGAACACCAGUGGCGAAGGCGGCUUACUGGACGGCAACUGACGCUGAGGCUCGAAAGCGUGGGGAGCAAACAGG